CCCUUAGAUGUCCAGGGCCGCACGCGCGCUACAAUGGAUGAAUCAACGCGUCAUCCUGGCCCGAAAGGGUUGGGGAACCGCUGAACCUCAUCCGUGGUUGGGAUUGGGGUUUGUAAUUAUUCCCCAUGAACUAGGAAUUCCCAGUAAGCGCGAGUCAUAAGCUCGCGUUGAUUACGUCCCUGCCCUUUGUACACACCGCCCGUCGCUACUACCGAUUGGAUGGUUUAGUGAGAUCCUCGGAUUGGUCACGGCACGGUGGCAACACUGCGUCGGUGUGCCGAGAAGACGAUCAAACUUGAUCAUCUAGAGGAAGUAAAAGUCGUAACA
rnacentral:rRNA from 1 species